rnacentral:sRNA from 1 species
AAAGAUAUUCGUUGUUCGAGUUUAUUGAGCACGUAUGGUGUGCUAGGCACUUCUAAGUGCUUGACAUAUAUUCAUUCAUCUGAUCCUUUCAAACACUUUAUGAUCUAUUUAUUUUAAGACAGUGUCUCACCCCUGUCACCCAGGCUGGAGUGCAGUGGCGCCACCUUGGCUCACUGCAACCUCCGCCUCCCAGCAUGGGUGACAGAGUGAGACUCCGUCUCAAAAAAGAAAAAAACAAAAAAACAGUGAUAAAGUACAGCCUUUAUGGGGAUGAGCGUAGGAGAUAGAGAGGGAAAACUGUAACAGCUGAAAAUUGACUGAGAUCUCUUGGAAUCUGUAACAACUUUUUUGUAGUGCUCUUUUCCUUCUUGAUGCCACCCUUCUUCUAGUGGAGGUUGGGUGUAAGAUUGAGGUUACAUGUGUUUGAUGUUGUAGGAGGCUGUGACAUUCAAGGAUGUGGCUGUGGUCUUCUCCAGGGAGGAACUGAGACUGCUGGAUCUUACCCAGAGGAAGCUGUACCGAGAUGUCAUGGUGGAGAACUUCAAGAACCUGGUUGCAGUGGG